AUCCAAGAAUGCAUUAGACACACUUCUCAUCAGUUUGCAACCAUGCCUCACAAAAAAACCUUCUUACACAACAAUACCGGAGAGAACAUGGAGAAAGGGGCAUUUGCUCAAGCACACAGAACAUCACAGGAUUUGAUUUCUGAUUAUGAGUAUAUUCAGAGUGCCCCAUUAAGGGAGGAUGGAGAACACCAUAAAUCACACAGGAAGCGGAGCAGUGCUGGGGCCAACACCAAUGCUUCUUAGAGGAAGAGAAUUAACUUGGGGUUUAGACAAAAGGGAGACAGGGCACAUGAAGUUGGAAAGAAGAUGAAGGCAGGAAUGUGCUGAGUCAAAUUCCACGAGCUGGUUGUUAAAUUUUUGAAAUAAAAAUUUACACCCUGGAAAUCUAU